rnacentral:rRNA from 1 species
UACGUGAGGUGCAAACAUUACCCGGAAUUAUUGGGCGUAAAGCGUCCGCAGGUGGCGUAGCAAGUCAGGUGUUAAAUCUUGAGGCUCAACUUCAAGACUGUGCUUGAAACUACUAUGCUAGAGAGGUGGAGAGGUGAGUGGAAUUCUGCAUGUAGGGGUAAAAUCCGUAGAUAUGCAGAGGAACACCAAAAGCGAAGGCAGCUCACUGGCCAUUCUCUGACACUCAUGGACGAAAGCGUAGGUAGCAAACGGG